rnacentral:rRNA from 1 species
CAACUUUCAACGACGGAUCUCUUGGCUCUCGCAUCGAUGAAGAACGCAGCGAAAUGCGAUAAGUAAUGUGAAUUGCAGAUUUUCAGUGAAUCAUCGAAUCUUUGAACGCACCUUGCGCUCCUUGGUAUUCCGAGGAGCAUGCCUGUUUGAGUGUCAUUAAAU